AGUGAACGCUGGCGGUAGGCCUAACACAUGCAAGUCGAACGGCAGCACAGAGGAGCUUGCUCCUUGGGUGGCGAGUGGCGGACGGGUGAGGAAUACAUCGGAAUCUACUUUUUCGUGGGGGAUAACGUAGGGAAACUUACGCUAAUACCGCAUACGACCUACGGGUGAAAGCAGGGGAUCUUCGGACCUUGCGCGAUUGAAUGAGCCGAUGUCGGAUUAGCUAGUUGGCGGGGUAAAGGCCCACCAAGGCGACGAUCCGUAGCUGGUCUGAGAGGAUGAUAAGCCACACUGGAACUGAGACACGGUCCAGACGCCUGCGGGAGGCAGCAGUGGGGAAUAUUGGACAAUGGGCGCAAGCCUGAUCCAGCCAUACCGCGUGGGUGAAGAAGGCCUUCGGGUUGUAAAGCCCAUUUGUUGGGAAAGAAAUCCAGCCGGCUAAUACCUGGUUGGGAUGACGGUACCCAAAGAAUAAGCACCGGCUAACUUCGUGCCAGCCGCCGCCGUAA
rnacentral:rRNA from 1 species